rnacentral:tRNA from 2 species
GCCGGGAUGGCGGAAUCGGUAGACGCAGUGGACUCAAAAUCCACCGCUGGCAACAGUGUGGGGGUUCGACUCCCCCUCCCGGCACCA